ACAGGUCCCUGAAGGUCGCGUGAGGGUGAAUUGUAAGAUCGCUGUCUCUUGAAGCUACCGUACCUUUAAGAAGCCGACGUAGCCUUAACCUCCCUCCGCUACGGUGUCCUGCAGACCUCACGGGGACAUCCUGUCCUCACGUUGUCCUCCAGAUGUUCAGAUGUUUAAGAUGCUGCAUUUACGACGGAGCAGAUUAAGAAUAAAAAUCUUUCUCUUUAUUUGUGUCUCUUUGUGGAUUCAAACAAACUUCAGUUUUAUCUGAUACAAAUAUUUACAGUUUGAGUGUAAAACGUCAGCAAAAUAUUGCCUUGCAUAAAAGUACCAGAUGUACCACUGGAAACGUACUGCAGUAUAAGUACAACAAGUACUUCUGAGAUGUACUGCAGUAGAAAGUAUGUGUACUCAAAAUAUGAAUGUACCAUUUAAUACAUUUAACUGAUACAAA
ensembl:lncRNA